rnacentral:lncRNA from 1 species
CCGUGGAGGCUAUCCUACGCAUAAGCUCGUAGAGGCUAUCCCACGCAUCAGCUCAUGGCAGCUAUCCUACGCAUAAGCUCGUAGAGGCUAUCCCAUGCAUCAGCUCGUGGCAGCUAUCCUACGCAUAAGCUCGUAGAGGCUAUCUCAUGACAAGGUUAGUCCAACCCAUUUUACAUGUCUAGUUUUACAUGUUUAAUCACAUUUCCAUCACAUCACAUAUUUUCAUAAAUUCUCAAGAAAUAUGUUAUUUCUUCCCAAAUAAAUUUAUUUCAAUAUUUUCAUAAUAAACAAAAUGCACGCCUCAUAGGUAUCGUAUCAGCUCAUAAAACAAUAACAACAUAAUUAUAAAAUAAAUCGAAUGAUAAAUCAAAUAUAUGCAUAGAGAUGCUCAGAUGCAGAUAUUCUUACAGAGAUUGUAGACUGACACAAACACGGAUCCGAAUUACAACCUACGAGCUGGGGUGCUGAGUCCCCUGAUCCAAACCUUCUGGCACCGCUAACUCUUUCCCUACAACAUCAAUUAUAAAUCACGAACUAAACUAUUUAACAUUAAAAUAUUCUGAACCAUAACUUACAUCUACUUUGGGGCCCAUUACUAGGUCCCCAAUCAUCUCAACCCCUCCAGAUUUAGGAGCAAUCGGAGAGGCCCGACUCUCCACCUUGUACCACUGGCCUAUGUCUUCGCCAGCCAUGGCCGCCGCCAUGCCGGCGACGAUGACCGAUCUCGGUGAAAAGACCAAAAGGAGGAUGAACGAGAGAGAAGGGAAGAAGAACCUUCUCUCUUCAUGGAUGGGAGUACAUCUCUCCUUCCCCAUUUCUUGGUCCAAGGGCAGCAGCCGCCACCUGCCCAACCCUCGGCCACCACCCUCCCGACCCUCAGCCACCACUGGCCGAACCAUCGCUGGCCGCCAUGUUGCAGUCGCCGGCGAUGGUGGCCGGCCAAGAGAGGGAGAGAAGAAGAAAUUUCUUCUUCUUCCCCCCCCCCAAGAACCGGAUGGACUUCCUUCCCCCCCACUUCUUCAUCAUCAACGGAAGGCCACCGUGAUGGUGGCUCGGCCUUCACCCGACGGCAGCCACAGUGGCUCUCAUCGUCAUCACCGGCCGGCGGCCAACCGACGAGAGGAAGAGGAGAGGAAUAUGGAACCACGAGGAGAAGACCUCGGUCCACCACUCCCCAUCCCCAACAAAACCCUAGAAAUCCCUCUCCAAUCCCCUCACAGUCCCGAUCAACCUCCAUAUGCCAUGGAUCUCGGCCAACCGGCGGCCGGCGGCGGCAAAAAUCCGGAAGAGAGAGGCCGAAACAGGGGUACCCUGUUUCGGGCUCUUCUCAGACGAUUCACCGGCCAAAUCCCUCCAACGUCUCCCCUAAUCUAGAAAAUGAAGCACAAGGGGCUUACCUCUAUCCGACGGGCUGCUCCGGCGACCCUUCCGGCGAGGGAUCGGUGGAGAAAAUCCAUGAGCAACCCAGAUCAACGCGCACGGCUCCAAGAUCUCUUCACCCGAUUGUGGGGAUCUUCACCGAGGGAAAGGGGGCUUAGGGCUUCCUCUGCGGCCAGCCGGAUCUCGGCGGUUGGUCUUCUCUCCGGCGAUUAACCCCCCCCCCCAAACGCCGCCGCCACCCCUUCACCCCUCUUCUUCCACGAUCGUGCCUAGGGCACUAUCGUAAUAAGGGGGAUGGGCCCGGUCUUUUCGGGCCGGCCCGUCCACCCUUUCUUUUUUUUUUUGGUUCUCACAUUCUCCCCUCCUAAAAAAAAAAUUUCGUCCGCGAAAUUAACGUACCUGGAAUACCAAGGAGUUGAGGGUGUUUGGCUUUUAUUUCUUCCUCGAGCUUCCAAGUGGCCUCUCUUUCUGAGUGAUUGCUCCAUUGUACCUUUACAUAAAGAAUGGUCCGACGUCGCAACACUUGAUCCUUUCUAUCCACAAUCCGUACCAGGUACUCUUCAUAAGUUAGGUUCUCAUGCAGACUUAUAGGCUCAAAAUCUACCACAUGGUUCGGAUCCGGAAUAUAUUUUCUCAGCAUUGAAAUAUGGAAUACAUUAUGCACACCUGAUAAAGCUGGUGGUAGAGCCAAACGGUAUGCCACUUCUCCAACUCUAUCCAGGAUCUCGAACGGACCAACAAACCUAGGGCUCAAUUUGCCACGAACCUUGAACCUCAUCACACCUUUAGUAGGAAAUACUUUCAAGAAAACAUGAUCACCAACCUGAAACUCCAGUUCUCUUCUCAGCAUAACUCUUUUGUCUACUCUGAGCUAUAAGGAGCCGUUCUCUGAUCACCUGUAUCUUAUCCACAGUUUGUUGUACUAUCGCUGGACCCAAUACUUUUCUUUCUCCCACAUCAUCCCAACAAAUUGGAGAUCGGCAUUUUCUGCCAUGCAAUGCCUCAAAAGGAGCCAUCUGAAUACUGGCCUGAUAACUAUUAUUGUAGGCAAACUCAACCAGCGACAAAUGACUAUCCCAAGCACCACCCAAAUCCAUGACACAAGCCCUUAACAUAUCCUCCAAGAUCUGAAUAAUGCGCUCCGACUGUCUAUCAGUUUGUGGAUGAAAAGCUGUACUGAAGUCCAGUCAUGUACCAAGAGCUUUAUGAAGGCUCUUCCAAAACUGUGACACAAAUCUAGUAUCUCUAUCAGACACAAUUGAAACUGGAAUCCCGUGCAGCCUCACAAUUUGCUCUAUGUACAAACUUGCCAAUUUCUCCAGAGGAAAGCCAACUCUAAAAGGCAAGAAAUGUGCUGACUUGCUCAGUCGGUCAACAAUCACCCAAACCGCAUCAUUACCCCGAGGGGUCUUAGGCAAGGCAGUCACAAAAUCCAUGGUGAUAUGCUCCCACUUCCACUGAGGAAUGAGAAGAGACUGUAAUGGUCCAGCAGGCCUCUGAUGCUCAACUUUCACUUGCUGACACACUAAGCACUGUGCAACAUACUAAGCUAUAUCUCGCUUCAUGCCACUCCACCAAAAAUUUUCUUUCAAGUUCCGGUACAUUUUAGUACCUCCUGGAUGCACUGUAUAAGCUGAGUUAUGGGCCUCAUCAAGAAUCUCUUUCUUCAUUUCUGGUACUUUCGGCACACAUUCCCUUUUCCCGAAUCUUAAAGAGCCAUCUUCAUGCCCUCGGAAUUCUGACUGCACACCUGACUCUACUGUUUCUCUGAUCUUCUGUAACUUUGGAUCCUCUCUAUGAGACAUCUUGAUCUUUUCAAUUAGAGUAGGUUGCACUGUGAGGGUAGCCAAUUGUACCUUAGGAUCAUGUAGUCGUAUCUCGAUCCCUAAUCUCUCCAAAUCUAAUAAAAUAUGCUUCUGUGUAGUGAUCAAUGCUGCCAGUCCACUUGAGGAUUUUCUACUCAAAGCAUCAGCCACUACAUUUGCUUUCUCCGGAUGGUAACUGAUAGUCAGGUCAUAAUCCUUCAGUAGUUCUAGCCAUCUUCUUUGCCUCAAAUUCAGCUCCUUCUGUGUGAAGAUAUACUUCAAACUCUUAUGGUCUGUGAAAACCUCACAGUGUUCUCCAUACAAGUAAUGCCUCCAUAUUUUCAGAGCAAAAACUACUGCUGCCAACUCCAAAUCAUGUGUAGGGUAAUUCUGUUCAUAUGACUUUAACUGUCUAGAGGCAUAAGCUAUCACCUUCCCAUUCUGCAUCAGAACACACCCUAGUCCUUUACGAGAUGCAUCACUGUAGAUGGUGAAGCCUUCUGUUCCAUAUGGAAUAGCUAGCACUGGGGUUGUCACCAGACGCUUUUUCAGCUCUUGAAAACUCUGUUCACAGUCAUCUGUCCAUUCAAACUUUACUUGCUUCUGAGUCAAGCGACUUAAAGGCAUGGCAAUACGGGAGAAUCCCUCAACGAAUCUUCUGUAAUAUCCAGCCAAUCCUAAGAAGCUGCGCACUUCAGUUACAUUAGUAGGUCUACACCACCCAACUACUGCCUCCACUUUCAUUAGAUCAACAGAGACACCUUUCUUAGAGAUUACAUGCCCAAGAAAAGAAAUACUAUCCAACCAGAACUCACACUUUGAUAGCUUAGCAUAAAGCUUCUUUUAUCUAAGAGUUUGCAAUACUACCCUUAGAUGUUCUUCAUGUUCCUGUGAGCUCUUUGAAUACACCAAAAUGUCAUCAAUGAACACUACCACAAACUGAUCCAGAUAAGGUUUGAAUAUCCGAUUUAUAAGAUCCAUGAAGGCAGCCGGUGCAUUUGUUAAACCAAAAGGCAUGACCAAAAAUUCAUAAUGCCCGUAUCUGGUCCUGAAAGCUGUCUUGGGCACAUCCUCUACCUUUAUUUUUAAUUGAUGAUAGCCAGAACGAAGAUCAAUCUUCGAGAAAACCUGAGCCCCUUGCAGCUGAUCAAACAAGUCAUCAAUUCUUGGUAGUGGGUAUUUAUUCCGUACUGUCACCCUAUUUAAUUCCCGGUAGUCUAUACAGAGUCGGAGGCUACCGUCUUUCUUUUUCACAAAUAAUACAGGAGCACCCCAAGGAGAAACACUAGGCCUGAUAAAACCCUUAUCUAGUAACUCCUGUAGUUGUUCCUUCAGCUCUUUCAAUUUAGCUGAAGCCAUUCGAUAUGGAGCUUUUGAAAUUGGACCAGUGCCAGAAAUCAAGUCGAUGGAGAAUUCAAUCUUCCUAUCAGGGGGUAAUUCUGGCAAUUCAUCUGGAAAUUCUGUCACCACAGGGAUAUCCUCUAACUUGGGCUCCUCUUUCUGGGUGUCUAACACAGCAGCUAAGAAUCCUUCACAACCUUUUGCGAGAAGUUUCUUAGCCUGUAGAGCCGAGAUUAACUUCAUUUGAUGAGGUGACUUGCUACCCACCAAACCAAACACUGGCUGACCAGGGAUCUGAAACUUGAUCAUUUUCUCAAAACAAUCAACAGUAGCAUGGUAUGCUGCCAACCAGUCCAUACCAAGGAUCAAAUCAAAAUCAUUCAUCUAUAAGACCAGCAAGUCUGCAUUCAUUUCCCUGUCCUCAAUGCCCAAAAUACAGUUCUUGCAAAUUGAAUUAACUAAUAUAACAUCUCCACUUGGCGUUGAGACACAGAGAUCAAAUUCUAAUGGCACAGGUGAUAUUUCAGUAUUCUUUCUAACAAAAUUGGCCGAUAUGAAUAAAUGGGUAGCACCAGAGUCAAAUAAAACAUUUACAUCAUUAGACAAUAACCUAAUCAUUCCUGUAAACAUAGUAACAAGGCACCUAAUCAUAAUCUUUAACCAUACAUGCACAAACAUAUAUAACCUAACAAAAUUUAUGACAUGCCAAACAAGAGAGAGUAUUAGGGAUGAAUUUAUUACCUGUCACCACUGAAUUAGAAGCCUUGGCAUCCUGCUCUGUGAGUGCAUAGACCUGCCCCUGGGUCCUAGGCCUCUGCUGCCCUCCCUCUUGCUGCUAUCCUUCCUGAGGUGCUCGGUUUACAGGAACUCUUUGAGAGGACUGUGGUGCCUGUCGCCUCUGCGGUUCUUUCCCAUUAGGACAAACAAUAGCCUUAUGCCCUUCUUGUCCACAAGAAAAAUAUGUCCCUCCAACCCAAGUGCAAUCUCGCUUGAGAUGAGGUCCUCCACAUCUGUAGCAUCUAAUGGCACCUCGGGCUUGACCUCUGUCUCUGCUGACAACUUGAUUCGGUCUCUGAUCCUUCGACUUGAAGGGUCUACUAUUUUGGCUCGGAGAAUCAGUGGAUCGAAACCUUUUCUUCAUAUUCUUUUCUCUGGCAGCUUGGGCAUUGUCAAGCCCUUUUUCUAUCACCAGGGCUUUGUUAACCACAUCUUUAUAACUAGACAGUUCAAAAGCAGCAACUUGUUGUUGAAUCCGUCCCCUGAGUCCAUUUUCAAAUUUUCUUGCUCGGUCACUAUCCUCUGAUAUCAAGAUCGGAGCAUAUCGGGACAUCUCUUCAAACUUUGCUGCAUACUGGGCAACUGUCAUAUCAUCCUACUCCAGUCGGUCAAACUCCCUAUAUUUCUGGAAUCGGAUAUCCUGGAGAAAAUACUUCUCAUGAAAAACCUUUUUAAGUUCUUCCCAAAUGAAGGGGGCAUCAUCCGGACCAAGCUUCCCUUUCUCCAUCUCCCACCAGUUAGCUGCCUCACCCUGUAACAUAAAGGUGGCAAAAAGGACUUUCUCCUCAUCAGGGCACCUCAGAGCUUGAAAGACUUUCUCUAUCUGUUUCAGCCAGCUCUCAGCCUCCAUCGGGUCAGCCGUACCUUUAAAUGCUAUGGGUGCAUAUCUCUAAAAAUCCAACAGACUGACUCGGUGCUCUGGCUGAGCUGUAGUGCCUUGAAACUGCUGCUGUUGCUGCUGCUGUUGUUGAUACAUUGCUUGCUGCUGCUGCAACUGUUGCUGCAAGAACUGUUGCUAUACCUCUACCAUCCUCAUCAUGUCUGCUCUGGCAGCAGCCUGCUGUUGCACCAUCAUUUGCAUCAACUAUGAAGCACUUAUCGUCUCCUCAAGCUGAAUACUUGGUUCUUCGGAUGUCCCAAUCUCCGGAGCACCCAUCUCUGGAGUACUGCCAGUAGGGUCAAUAGUGUGCUCCUACUGUGGCACACCCCGAGUCGGCAUGGUUGAGGUACCUUCCUGCUGUCCAGAGGGUGCCCAAGCCAUGGAGCCGUCCGCAAAUCGGGUCGGCCUUCUGGCACGCCCCCGACCAUGCCCUCGUGCCAUAUCAACCUACACAAUUUUUUCAACAUCAAGAUUAUCAGAUUGAGAAAAUUUUGCAUCCUUCAUAUGCUAAUCACACCAUUUUAAUAUCUUACGUGUUUAGUGAUUUUCCCCACUCAGGCUUACUCGAGCCUAAACUCUAGGAUUCCUAAACCUUAAGCUCCGAUACCAAAUCUGUCACGCCCCAAACCCAUCACUCGGGUCGACCACGUGACACGGCCACAUAAUCCCUAAAGUAAAACCCUAAAGAUCAUGUAAGGCCUAACAAGGUACAAUAUUCCCAAAAAUGCCAAAAUCAAAGAUUAAUGUAAUUCAAUCAAAUCCAACUAAAAUGAACUGAUUUAUUACAUAAUUUCAAAUGUCCAUAAACAAAAGAUAAAUUAACUUCUAUCUAUCUAGCAGUCUGACUCCAGAUCGAGCUCACUUCUUGUCCCACCCGACAGAUUCUACGAAUCCAGUGCCUCUGAAAAAAAUGUAAGUGUAGUAUGAGCUUUUCCAGCCCAGUAAGAAUCCCAACAGCCACACACAGUAAUAAUAAUAAAAUAAUCAAAGCAUCAAAUAAAUGUCAUUUCAUCAUUUCAAAGGCUCAACAAACAACAAUUAUAUAUAACCAUUUCAUAUACAUAAAUCCUUUUUCACAUUAUGUGAUCCAUUUCCGUAUUACUCUGUUUCCCAAGUUUUCAGACUUUUCACUUCUGUCUUUGGACUAACCAAGAUCAUGUCCCAGUCCAAGACUGCACAAAUCCCACGCAUAAGUUCGUGGCAGCUAUCCCACGCGUAAGCCCGUGGAGGCUAUCCUACGCAUAAGCUCGUAGAGGCUAUCCCACGCAUCAGCUCGUGGCAGCUAUCCUACGCAUAAGCUCAUAGAGGCUAUCCCACGCAUCAGCUCGUGGCAGCUAUCCUACGCAUAAUCUCGUAGAGGCUAUCUCGUGACAAGGUUAGUCCAACCCAUUUUACAUGUCUAGUUUUACAUGUUUAAUCACAUUUCCAUCACAUCACAUAUUUUCAUAAAUUCUCA